GACGUAGGGUGCGAGCGUUGUCCGGAUUUAUUGGGCGUAAAGAGCUCGUAGGCGGUCUGUCGCGUCGAAUGUGAAAACCCGGGGCUCAACUCCGGGCUUGCUUUCGAUACGGGCAGACUGGAGGUAUGCAGGGGAGAACGGAAUUCCUGGUGUAGCGGCGAAAUGCGCAGAUAUCAGGAGGAACACCGGUGGCGAAGGCGGUUCUCUGGGCAUGUCCUGACGCUGAGGAGCGAAAGUGUGGGGAGCGAACAGG
rnacentral:rRNA from 1 species